GGUGGCUCAGUGGUAGAGUGCUUGCCUCACAUGCAUAAGACCCUGGGUUCAAUUCCUCAGCACCA
rnacentral:tRNA from 1 species